UCUCUAAACCAGCUACCGAAAGGUAAAGGUCUAAAGCCCUUGUAAAUUGGCGAUAGGAGA
rnacentral:ribozyme from 2 species